CAAAGUCCAAGCAGAACUUAUUAAGGGCAUUUGCAUAGAGAUUUCAAUGCAAAUUUUACCUCUUUAGCUUUUAAGGCAUGCUAAAGUAAUUUACAUAUUUCACCAUCGUGAUAAUAACUCUAACAUGAAAUAUUAAAUAUGUGUUAUAUCAUCAUAUGUUUGUGCUGAUAUAUAGUAUUAUAUAGACCCGAGAAUCUAUUUGUUGGUUCUAGCAACUUGAUAAAUACACGGAAAUAGAGGGACCAUUCGCUUACCAGUUUUCAAAUACAAACCUCAUAAAUGCAAACAUCACUUAAAGCAAGCAAACUUUAUUUUGACAACUCACAUUUAGUCUUAUAGCAAAAACGAAUCACAGUAAUUUGUAUCUUAUUAUAACUCAAUUAGAAAACAGUAGUGCUUCAUGAAUGUGUAUAUUCCUUGCUUCUAGUAAUCAUUAUAAUAUUAAAUACGUGCCUAAUUGGUUAAAAAGACAAAUAAGUAAUUAAUUAUCUCGCAAUACAGUAGCUGUUUACACAUUAUUUCACUUAUCUCUUAUAUAACGUCAUAGAUAUGCAUAGAGUGCAUAGUACAAUAUGCUGUCUAAAGUCUAACUUUUCUGCAUACAGUUUCCCUCUAGCUUAACAAAUAGACUGUUUUAGAUAGGCCUAUUAUUUGCACAGAAGAUGGUAGACAGUAUUUAAGAGCAUUUUGUUGCCCAGUGUACAUGAGAAGUCUACAACUCAAACAAAGAGCAUCUCCAAUACUCUGCUUUUUUUUUUUCUAGAUGGAAAAGGGGCCCUGUUGAACAGCUCAAGCUUCCCAACAAACUUAAGGAGUAAGGGUUGUGGAAAUGCUUGUUUUCCUGCAGAAUUAGUAAGGUUUCUUUUCCGGAUACUAGUAGGAAUCACAUAAAGAAGUAAAUUUCAGUUACCUUGAAAUGAUGAAGGGCUCAGUUUAUCCUAUUAGGUCCUUAACUUCUGACACCAUGUACUUACUUUAGAUCUGGAUAUGAAUUGAGCCUGCAAGGCUCUCUCCCUAUUAGUCAUAGGAUAACACUUUGUCAAGAAUCAGCACUAUUUUUAAAAUUAAGAGUUAGCAUUCACUAAUACUUUUAAAACAACAGUAUUGUAUAGGACAAACAUUUAGUGCUUCCUCCUUCCACUUGUGGGCCCACUUCAGUACUUUGCUCAUGAUUUAAACUAAAUGUGAUACGAGCAGUGAGCAGGGUGACUCUUUUGUGCCAGCAAAGUGGCUGCUGUAGUCUCUGCAUUCAAAUGCUAAAAUUUUACCCCAAGAGCUCAUUUGUUUUUUCUAUCCCAAAAGCUCAUUUAAUAUUUACUUUCAUAAACAAUAUUGUAUAAAUUACUCGUAUAGCAAAUUUUAUAGCACAUCAGCCAUGGGUUAUGAUGGCAGUAUGCUAAAAAUUCCCAGAGAUACAUUCCAAAGAUCUCCCAGUCUGAGUAAACUUAACCUCAGGAUAGGCAGAACUGUAAACACAAGGAGCCACACUGCAAUAGUGCUAGCAACAAGAGCAGUAGCUUGUAAAUGCCAAACCUUAUGCUAGUGGUUUAUGACAAAGUUGUUGGCUUAUUCUUUCUAUCAGAGUUGUUUAAAGAUUUAUAGGUUCCAGUUUUAAUAACUUUGCUUUCCUUCUCCUUUUGUCUUCUAUUGUUUUGUUUAGGUAAGAUGGAGAAUGCAUUGUCUUGAGCUUGGAAAGCUCUUGAUAUUGACGUUUAUUCGGCUCACAAAGAAAGAACAGAAGCACAAAGAUCCAAAUUAAAAAAAAUGUCACAGAAGGAUCUAAGUGUAAUGCUAUACAUCUCUCUCACCAACUCCUCUCAGACAUGAUGGUUUGCGGGUCAUCACUGGCGCAUGACUUGACGAGGCUGUUAAUACAUCAAAGCUGGGAGACUUUUUAUUUCCCACAAGACCACAAGUGAAUGUUUUAGUAGCCACUGAACAGCAGAUUUUAUGGACAAGCUUCUCUUCUGCUGUCUGCUGAGAAACAAGGCAUACUAAGGGCAGGUGUAAAGUCACUGUGAAGGAGUGGCUUUGAACCAGAAGCUACAUAUGAAAUUUCAGAAGAACAUGCAGUCACCUCCCAGCAUCAAGCUACUGCCUGUCCCCAUCCUGUACAAAAACAGAUCAUGAUGCCACAGGGCACAUCUAGAGAUUUCCUCACUGAGUGAGAAUGUGAGCUGAGACAUGAUAAGCCAGCAGCCUCCUCUUCCAGCUCCUCAUCUUGAACCUGCUCAUUUUAUCAUCCAUCAGAGAAAGCAGAUAAAAAGGUUUUCAUUUCAGAAGCACAUACACAGGAAUCCUAGAAAAUGUGCAAAAGUUCUUAAAUUCUGCCCAGACAAAAUUUCCAGACAGAAGAAGAAAACCCAGACAAAUGCUUGCCCUAACUAUAUCUAAUAACAACCUACUUCACAUUUACGUUCUAAAGGGCCCUCCACAUAAAUGAGUCAAAUCUCAUGGCCGCUGGGUGCAGGAAAUCCAAGGACGUUAUUAAGAGAAGAUACUGAGUCAUUUUUUUUGCUAAAUAACUCCUCAGCUUGUGGCUUUAUCUAGACUUACAACUGCAGCAGUUACCACGCAUGUCAUGGUUCUACAUCCACCAUUUAUGAUGUCAACAUUGGUGCUGCUGAAUGGACAGAUGGCCAGUAAGGAUAAAAAUGUAUGUAGGUUACACUGAAAGUUAUGACUACUAUUUUAUUUCCAUGGAAACUACAAUGGAUACACAGAG
ensembl:lncRNA